rnacentral:rRNA from 1 species
CCUACGGGAGGCAGCAGUGAGGAAUAUUGGUCAAUGGGCGCGAGCCUGAACCAGCCAAGUCGCGUGAGGGAAGACGGUCCAGUGGAUUGUAAACCUCUUUUGUCGGGGAGCAAAAGACGCCACGCGUGGCGUUCCGAGAGUACCCGAAGAAAAAGCAUCGGCUAACUCCGUGCCAGCAGCCGCGGUAAUACGGAGGAUGCGAGCGUUAUCCGGAUUUAUUGGGUUUAAAGGGUGCGCAGGCGGACGAUUAAGUCAGCGGUAAAAUUGAGAGGCUCAACCUCUUCGAGCCGUUGAAACUGGUUGUCUUGAGUGAGAGAGAAGUAUGCGGAAUGCGUGGUGUAGCGGUGAAAUGCAUAGAUAUCACGCAGAACUCCGAUUGCGAAGGCAGCAUACCGGCGCUCAACUGACGCUCAUGCACGAAAGUGUGGGUAUCGAACAGGAUUAGAUACCCUUGUAGUC